CCCUGCUCCUUGGUGUUGUUCCCUGAGCCACCGACCAUAGACCGAGGGCCUUGGGACAAAGCGGUGGGUGCAGUGAGUACCUGUGGCCACCAGAGGGUGGAGCAGCCAGCUGUGUGCUCUUUCCCUUCGGGAUGGUUUCCUCUACCCAUGGGGCUGUGCUCCAUUUCUCUGCAACCCCCAGAGCUCAGUGCUUUUGAAGGUUUACUAGGUGCCAGCCCUCAGAAUUCGUGCCCCUCUUUUCCUGCAUUGGAGGCCUCCUAGCUGGAGAAAGCCAGUGAUUCCUUCUAGUCCUCAGAGCCAAACGAUGAUGGGGCCCAUUCCCCAGCUGCCUCUGCUCCUAGACCUCCUGAUGCUUACUGCAUCUCCACUUCGAGCUUUGGGUUGGGGGAGGUCGCCCUACUAUCAUCCCCAAACUCUUUUCUCCUGAGGCUGUACUCCUCUUCUGGGACCAGGACUGACAAGUGUUUGGGCAGGUGUGUUUUGGGCCAUCCACACACCUUGUCCUCCCCAGCCCUGCCUCUGAGCCUGAGUGGGCCUUGGUGUCUUCACAAACACACACACACACACACACACUGGCUCCUUUGACUGUCACAAAUAUUAUGAUUAUUGCCACCAUUUGCCAGGCCCCUGCCCGGUACUUGCCAGCCAUUAACUGAGUUAGCACUCCCAACUGCCUGGUGAUGUUGGU
rnacentral:lncRNA from 1 species